rnacentral:rRNA from 1 species
GAGUUUGAUCGUGGCUCAGGACGAACGCUGGCGGCGUGCUUAACACAUGCAAGUCGAACGGUGAUGCCCUUCGGGGUUGAUCAGUGGCGAACGGGUGAGUAACACGUGAGCAACCUGCUCCUGGCUCUGGGACAACCACUGGAAACGGUGGCUAAUACCGGAUACGACUCGAUUCGGGCAUCCGAUGUGAGUGGAAAGUUUUUUCGGUUGGGGAUGGGCUCGCGGCCUAUCAGCUUGUUGGUGGGGUGAUGGCCUACCAAGGCGACGACGGGUAGCCGGUCUGAGAGGGCGAUCGGCCACGACUGGGACUGAGACACGGCCCAGACUCCUACGGGAGCAGCAGUGGGGAAUAUUGCACAAUGGGCGAAAGCCUGAUGCAGCGACGCCGCGUGAGGGAUGACGGCCU